AGGGCGGUCGGAGGAUGCCUAGGCUCCACGAGGCGACGAAGGACGCGACAAGCUGCGAAAAUCCGGGACGAGGCGCAAAUGGCCGGCGACCCCCGGGUGUCCGAAUGGGGCAACCCGCCGCGGGCGCACCGCGGCACCCCGCCCCGCGAGGGGGGGGAGCCAACCCGGGGAACUGAAACAUCUAAGUACCCGGAGGAAAAGAAAGAGAGAUCGAUUCCCCCAGUAGUGGCGAUCGAAAAGGGAAGAGCCCAAACCGGGCCCGUCGAGGCGGGCCCGGGGUUGUAGGGCGGCCGCCAGGGGCGGCCGGAGCGCGGGGGAAGCGCCUGGAAAGGCGCGCCGCAGAGGGUGAAGGCCCCGUACCCCGCCGCGAAGGCCGUCCCGGCCGUACCUGAGUAGGGCGGGACACGAGAAAUCCUGCCUGAAUCCGCCGGGACCACCCGGCAAGGCUAAACACUCCGUGGAGACCGAUAGUGGACCAGUACCGUGAGGGAAAGGUGAAAAGCACUCCGGACAGGAGGGUGAAAGAGACCCUGAAACCGGCCGCCCGCGAACUGUGGGAGCCGCCAAGUGCGGUGACCGCGUGCCUUUUGCAUAAUGAGCCUACGAGUUGCUCCCGUCCGGCCAGGUUAAGGCGCUCAGCGCCGGAGCCGUGGCGAAAGCGAGUCCGAAACGGGCGAAAAGGAGUCGGACGGGGCAGACGCGAAACCUUGUGAUCUACCCCUGGCCAGGCCGAAGCCCCGGUGAAACGGGGUGGAGGGCCGAACCGGUGGACGUUGAAAAGUCCUCGGAUGAGCCGGGGGUAGGGGUGAAAGGCCAAUCAAACUGGGAAAUAGCUCGUACUCCCCGAAAUGCAUUUGGGUGCAGCCCCGGCGCCGAGCGCCGCGGAGGUAGAGCCACCGUUUGGAUGAGAGGGCUUCGCCGCCUAUCGACUCCAGGCGAACUCCGAAUGCCGCGGCGUGCUCGCCGGGAGUGAGGCGCGGGGUGCUAAGGUCCCGCGCCGAGAGGGAAAGAACCCGGACCGCCCGCUAAGGCCCCCAAGGGCGCGCUGAGUCGAACGAACGGGGUGGGGCUGCGCAGACAGCUAGGAUGUUGGCUUGGAAGCAGCCAUCCAUUCAAAGAGUGCGUAACAGCUCACUGGUCGAGCGGCCCCGCACGGAUGAUGACCGGGCGUGAAGCGCGCCGCCGAAGCGGCGGGAUAGGCCAGCGAUGGCCGAUCGGUAGGGGAGCGUUCCCGCGGCGUCGAAGCCGUCCCGCGAGGGGCGGUGGAGCCUCGGGAAACGAAAAUGUAGGCAUGAGUAACGACAAUGGGGGCGCGAAACCCCCACGCCGGAAGGCCAAGGUUUCCGGGACAACGCUAAUCGGUCCCGGGUCAGCCGGCCCCUAAGGCCAAGCCGCGAGGCCACGCCGACGGGAAACGGGUGAACAUUCCCGUGCCGGCGGACGGUGGUCCGCGCGGGACGCGGCGAGACAAGGCGCGCGCGCUGACGGAACAGCGCGUUGAAGGGGAGUAGGGGGCGACCCCGAACCCCGACAGUACCGCGAGCCCCCGGGCGGACGGACAGCCGCCCCACAGAGCCGCCAAGAAAACCGCGCGUUCCUUCAGCCGUCCGCCGACCGUACCGCAAACCGACACAGGUGGCCGGGUAGAGGAUACUGAGGCGCUCGAGUGAACCAUGGCCAAGGAACUAGGCAAAAUGGCCCUGUAACUUCGGGAGAAAGGGCGCCGCGCGGCGACGCGCGGCCGCAGAGGAACGGCCCAGGCGACUGUUUACCAAAAACACAGGGCUCUGCCAAGGCGAAAGCCGACGUAUAGGGCCUGACACCUGCCCGGUGCCGGAAGGUUAAGGGGAGCCGUCAACCCGCGGGCCGUAACUAUAACGGUCCUAAGGUAGCGAAAUUCCUUGUCGGGUAAGUUCCGACCUGCACGAAUGGUGUAACGAUCUGGGCGCUGUCUCGGCCAUGGGCUCGGUGAAAUUGUAGUGCCGGUGAAGAUGCCGGCCACCCGCGGCGGGACGGAAAGACCCCGUGCACCUUCACUGCAGCUUGGCGCAGGCCCAGGGCGCGUGACGUGUAGGAUAGGCCGGAGGCCGUGAGCCGGGGGCGCCAGCCCCCGGGGAGCCGCCCUUGAAAUACGGCCCUUCGCGCGUCCGGGGCCUAACCCCCGCGAGGGGGGACUGCGCCAGGCGGGUAGUUUGACUGGGGUGGUCGCCUCCAAAAGGGUAACGGAGGCUCCCAAAGGUGCCCUCAGGACGCAUGGCAACCGUCCGCGGAGCGCAAUGGCACAAGGGCGCCUGACUGCGAGGCCGACGGGCCGGGCAGGCGCGAAAGCGGGGCAUAGUGAUCCGGCGGUCCCGAGUGGAAGGGCCGUCGCUCAAAGGAUAAAAGGUACGCCGGGGAUAACAGGGUCGGCUCGUCACAUCCUGGGGCUGGAGAAGGUCCCAAGGGUUGGGCUGUUCGCCCAUUAAAGUGGCACGCGAGCUGGGUUCAGAACGUCGCGAGACAGUUCGGUCCCUAUCUGCCGCGGGCGUCGGAGGAUUGAGGGGAGCGGUCCCUAGUACGAGAGGACCGGGACCGACGCACCUCCCGUGAGCCAGUUGUCGCGCCAGCGGCACGGCUGGGUAGCGGCGUGCGGACGGGAUAAGCGCUGAAGGCAUCUAAGCGCGAAGCCCACCUCGAGAUGAAUCCUCCCCAAGCAGGGCCGUGGGAGACUACCACGUCGAUAGGCCGCAGGUGCGAGCGGGGCGACCCGCCAGCCGAGCGGUACUAAUCGCCCGAGGGCCUCCAGG
rnacentral:rRNA from 1 species